AUUGAACGCUGGCGGCAGGCCUAACACAUGCAAGUCGAACGAGUGGCGGACGGGUGAGUAAUGUCUGGGAAACUGCCUGAUGGAGGGGGAUAACUACUGGAAACGGUCGCUAAUACCGCAUACCAUCAGAUGUGCCCAGAUGGGAUGAGCUUGUUGGGGGGGUAACGGCUCACCAAGGCGACGAUCCCUAGCUGGUCUGAGAGGAUGACAAGCCACACUGGAACUGUGACACGGUCCAGACGCCUACGGGAGGAAGCAGUGGGGAAUAUUGCACAAUGGGCUCAAGCCUGAUGCAGCCAUGUCGCGUGUAUGAAGAAGGCCUGCGGGUUUUAAAGUACGUUCAGCGGGGAGGCGGUACCCGCAGAAGAAGCACCGGCUAACUCCGUGCCAGCAGCCGCGGUAAUAC
rnacentral:rRNA from 1 species